UACGUAGGCAGCAAGCGUUGUUCGGAGUUACUGGGCGUAAAGAGUGCGUAGGCGGUUUCGUAAGUUUGGUGUGAAAUCUCCCGGCUUAACUGGGAGGGUGCGCCGAAAACUGCGGGGCUGGAGUGUGGGAGAGGUAAGCGGAAUUCCCGGUGUAGCGGUGAAAUGCGUAGAUAUGGGAGGAACACCAGCGGUGUAGACGGCUUACUGGACCAUGACUGACGCUGAGGCACGAAAGCGUGGGGAGCAAACAGG
rnacentral:rRNA from 1 species